GUUGUCAUUAAUACAGUAGUUACUUGCGAAAUAAAUUACAAGCACUUUAUAGCUCACAUACAUGGUUUUGUAAAAUUGGCACCAUCAUUUUAAACAUAUACAUAAUGAUUUCUAGUAAUAAAUACCACCCGGUAUGCUGGCAUUCUAGACAGAUAUGUUUUUUUUAUAUAUUAUGUUAUGUAUGGUAUGUCUACAUUUGGCGUAUUAGACAUGCUAGCCUAUCCAUUGUGAUAGUUUAUUAUUAAGACGUAACAUUGACACCCAAUAAACACAAAUUCAUUACCCACAACACGUUACCUUUCUUUAUCUCAAUAGACAGGUUUCUUUGUCACAGUAUAAGUUAUGAGAGGAAAUAGAGAAUCAAUCUGUUUUAAUUGAUCGAUAAGCUUAUGAUAGAUAUAGAUUCUAAUAGCUAAGCAACACUUUGAGCAAGCAUAUUCACUAGACUGUCACAGGGAAUCAUUUCAAAAGCAUCACUAUUACUGCAGUUGGGAUGAGAUCGCAAUGAUUCCGUGCAUAAGAUGAGAUUUUUUUUUAUUGCAGUGUCUACUUAGAUUUUUAUAUCUUCAUCUUAUGUAACAGCUGAGCACCAAAUAAUAUUAU